GUCCUAUUGAUGAUAAUUUUAGGUCUGGUCUGCUCAAUGAUUUUAAAUUAAAUAGCUGCGGUAUUUUGACCGUGCAAAGGUAGCAUAAUCAUUAGUUUUUUAAUUGAAAGCUUGAAUGAAGGGUUUGAUGAAAAAAUGACUGUCUCUAUAUAAAUUUUUUAAAAUUUUAUUUUUAAGUUAAAAAGCUUAAAUAGUUAUAGAAGACGAGAAGACCCUAUAGAGUUUAAUAUUUACAGAAUUAAUUAAUAUUUGGAAAUUUUAAAUAUAAUUUUUUAAUUUAUUUAGUUGGGGUGAUUAAAAAAUUUAUAAAACUUUUUUAUGUAUAAGAUCAUUAAUGAAUGAGUUAUUUGAUCCUUAUAAUGAGAUUAAUAGAUAAAAUUACCUUAGGGAUAACAGCGUAAUUUUUUUUUAAAGUUCAAAUUAAAAGAAAAGAUUGCGACCUCGAUGUUGGAUUAAAAAUAAUAUUGGUGUAGGAGCUAAUAGAUUAAGUCUGUUCGACUUUUAAAAUUUUACAUGAUCUGAGUUUAAACCGGUGUAAG
rnacentral:rRNA from 1 species